rnacentral:rRNA from 1 species
GACUAACGCUGGCGGCGUGCCUAAUACAUGCAAGUCGAACGGUCAUGCAUUUGUAGUAAUAUGAGUGCAUGGUAGUGGCGAACGGGUGAGUAACACGUGGAUAACCUACCUUUAUGUGGGGGAUAACUCCGGGAAACUGGGGGCUAAUACCGCAUGACAUCAUUCUGGGGGCAUCUCAGGAUGAUCAAAGUCGUAAGACGCAAAAAAGAUGGAUCCGCGUCCCAUCAGCUAGUUGGCGGGGUAAUGGCCCACCAAGGCUUUGACGGGUAGCCGGACUGAGAGGUCGAUCGGCCACAAGGGGACUGAGACACGGCCCCUACUCCUACGGGGGCUG